CACGUAGGGGGCUAGCGUUGUCCGGAAUCAUUGGGCGUAAAGAGCGUGUAGGCGGUCCGGUAAGUCCGUUGUGAAAGUCAGGGGCUCAACCCUUGAAUGCCGGCGGAUACUGUCGGGCUAGAGUCCGGAAGAGGCGAGUGGAAUUCCUGGUGUAGCGGUGGAAUGCGCAGAUAUCAGGAGGAACACCGGUGGCGAAGGCGGGUCUCUGGGGC
rnacentral:rRNA from 1 species